rnacentral:lncRNA from 1 species
AUCAUCUUCAGUGCCCUGUACGGGAGACGCUACUUGCCAGCAUACAGUGGUUUCUGGCUUAUUUUCACAGGCUUCUGAAGACAAUUAUAGCCUAAUGACUCAAGAGUUUCCCAGAGCUGGAAUUCUUUUCCAAAAUGAGUUAACCAGAUCCCUUUUAUGCAUGGCUGCAUGAAAUGAAAUGAAAACAGAAGAUGACCAUUUUUCAUUUUCCUGUUCAGAUUCUGAUCUGCUGCAGAGAUCAGAAGCACUCUUGCAUGGGGGUCAAGAGGCACAUUGCCUGUCAAUGUCUUCAUGGUUGAUGAUACAGUCUUCAAACCAAAAAGAAAUAUGUUCAAGUGUUGCCAGGAAAAUA